GACGAACGCUGGCGGCGUGCUUAACACAUGCAAGUCGAACGGAAAGGCCCUGCUUUUGUGGGGUGCUCGAGUGGCGAACGGGUGAGUAACACGUGAGUAACCUGCCCUUGACUUUGGGAUAACUUCAGGAAACUGGGGCUAAUACCGGAUAGGAGCUCCUGCUGCAUGGUGGGGGUUGGAAAGUUUCGGCGGUUGGGGAUGGACUCGCGGCUUAUCAGCUUGUUGGUGGGGUAGUGGCUUACCAAGGCUUUGACGGGUAGCCGGCCUGAGAGGGUGACCGGGCACAUUGGGACUGAGAUACGGCCCAGACGCCAACGGGAGGCAGCAGUGGGGAAUAUUGCACAAUGGGCGGAAGCCUGAUGCAGCAACGCCGCGUGCGGGAUGACGGCCUUCGGGUUGUAAACCGCUUUCGCCUGUGACGAAGCGUGAGUGACGGUAAUGGGUAAAGAAGCACCGGCUAACUACGUG
rnacentral:rRNA from 1 species